GACGAACGCUGGCGGCGUGCUUAACACAUGCAAGUCGAACGGAAAGGCCCUGCUUUUGUGGGGUGCUCGAGUGGCGAACGGGUGAGUAACACGUGAGUAACCUGCCCUUGUCUUUGGGAUAACUUCCGGAAACUGGGGCUAAUAAAGGAUAGGUGCUCCUGCUGCAUGGUGGGGGUUGGAAAGUUUCGGCGGUUGGGGAUGGUCUGUGGGCUUAUCAGCUUGUUGGUGGGGUAGUGGCUUACCAAGGCUUUGACGGGUAGCCGGCAUGAGAGGGUGACCAGCGACAUGAGUACUGCGAGACGGCCCAGACUCCUACGGGAGGCAGCAGUGGGGAACAUUGCACAAUGGGCGGAAGCCUGAUACAGCAACGCCGCGUGCGGGAUGACGUCCUUCUAGUUGUAAACCGCUUUCGCCUGUGACGAAGCGUGAGUGACGGUAAUGGGUAAGGAAGCACCGGCUAACUACGUG
rnacentral:rRNA from 1 species